GACAGAGGGUGCGAGCGUUGUUCGGAAUUACUGGGCGUAAAGCGCGCGCAGGCGGAUCCUGCAAGUCGGAAGUGAAAUGUGGCUGCUCAACGGCCCACGCUGCUUCCGAUACUGCGGAUCUGGGGACCGGUAGAGGCUGGUGGAAUUGCAGGUGUAGCGGUGGAAUGCGUAGAGAUCUGCAAGAACACCCGUGGCGAAGGCGGCCAGCUGGGCCGGAUCCGACGCUGAGGAGCGAAAGCGUGGGGAGCAAACAGG
rnacentral:rRNA from 1 species